UGAAAUGAAAUAAGCGCUUAACCCUUUAUUAGGAUAUCCUAAAUUCAAUAUUGAAGAGCUGAUUAUUGAAGAUGAAAGUGCCUCUUCACUGUGACACCACUGCUGUAACUAC